CCAGUACACGUAUUUUCCGUUCCUUCUCUUGACCACGCCCUUCCUGCCCCUCCCUUGCGCGAGGGAAACACGCUGUUCUCGCGUGGGCCAAACAGAACUCGUUCCUCAUUGGUUCCCUGUAGGGCUCACGUGAUUCUCUCCUUCACCGGCAUGUCCUGCCCCCAAAUAACGUCCUAGCCCUGUCACGUGGUCGCCUGCCGGGUAAGGAGGGGGAGGCGAGACCAGGCUCGGUGUGAGACGAGCUGGCGGGAGCUGCCGAAGCCGUGGGCCGAGCCGAUGGACCGGGCGUGCUGAGCAGGUGCCUUCAUGUUCCAGGUACCUGAAGGCCUCAAGUCAUCCCCCUCUGAGCCUCUCACCGUGCCUGGCAUAGUAACCCCCCACUCUGCCCUUCCCUGGAGCGCCAGCCCCCUGGAUCUACCCGAGCGCCACUCCCCCCCGAAAGCCCAACCUCUGCACUGCACCCCAGGAACGGGCACGACACCCCUGCUAAAGCUGCAGAUGACAGAGGAGUCUCCUGGUGUCUCAUUCACGUCCCCUGGGCUGGCACUUCCAUGUAGAUUUGUGGCACCUGAAUUCGAGAUGCUGCUUUACAGAACAGAGGGAUGAACAUUCCAGAAGACCAGCAGCCUGAUCCGGGACUCUAUUAUCAAUUGCAGAAACCAGUUUAAGGGAGUAAGGAAUCAGGAUGCUGAUGCUGAGCAGUGGAUAGACUGCCACAAAGCAGACUAGCUGGGGCUUUGCAAGAGAACGACAGCUUUAUGUUGUACCUCACGUACAUUUAUCAGAUAUGUGAUAUUUCUGAGGAAUCUCUUAACUUUUUAAAACCAGCACCCCAUGGACACCUCUGGAUUCCUUGGAGGAGCCUGAGAAAGAGAUCCCUGCCAAGAACUGUGAGGAGAAGGAGAGAGGGGGAAGACAUGAGCAGGGACUCCAGCCAUGCCAUGAGCUAGGGCAUAAACCAACCACUAACAGCCUGGGAUCAUAUUAUGCCAUAAUUGUCGAUUACAAGGUUUCUUGCACCCUCCUCUGAAGUAUCUGUUAUGACAAUUCCCAUGUUCCUAACCAAAGACAGAAUUUGGCCCAAAAUGUUUUAAAAUUGAAUUUCAGCAACUCUCCUGCAGAAGGCUCCUGGCCUCCCCUUCAGCUGCAUUGGGACGCCUUUCACUUCCAACGUCAUUUCCAAGGCACAAGGGGCUCAUGAUGUAGCGAUAGUCACUAGUGACAGCAGCAGCUGCUCCAGCAAUG